GACGAACGCUGGCGGCGUGCCUAAUACAUGCAAGUCGAGCGAACUUGCGGGAGCUUGCUCCCAAGAGUUAGCGGCGGACGGGUGAGUAACACGUGGGCAACCUGCCUAUAAGACUGGGAUAACUUCGGGAAACCGGAGCUAAUACCGGAUAAUUCUUUUCUACUCAUGUAGGAAAGCUGAAAGAUGGUUUCGGCUAUCACUUAUAGAUGGGCCCGCGGCGCAUUAGCUAGUUGGUGAGGUAGCGGCUCACCAAGGCGACGAUGCGUAGCCGACCUGAGAGGGUGAUCGGCCACACUGGGACUGAGACACGGCCCAGACUCCUACGGGAGGCAGCAGUAGGGAAUCUUCCGCAAUGGACGAAAGUCUGACGGAGCAACGCCGCGUGAGUGAUGAAGGUUUUCGGAUCGUAAAACUCUGUUGUUAGGGAAGAACAAGUACUAGAGUAACUGCUAGUACCUUGACGGUACCUAACCAGAAAGCCACGGCUAACUACGUGCCAGCCGCCGCGGUAAAAC
rnacentral:rRNA from 1 species